rnacentral:rRNA from 1 species
CCUACGGGAGGCAGCAGUGGGGAAUCUUCCGCAAUGGGCGCAAGCCUGACGGAGCAACGCCGCGUGAGUGAAGAAGGUCUUCGGAUCGUAAAGCUCUGUUGACGGGGACGAACGUGCGUGAUGCGAACAGUGUCAUGCAAUGACGGUACCUGUCGAGGAAGCCACGGCUAACUACGUGCCAGCAGCCGCGGUAAUACGUAGGUGGCGAGCGUUGUCCGGAAUCAUUGGGCGUAAAGGGAGCGCAGGCGGGCAAGUAAGUCUUUCUUAAAAGUGCGGGGCUCAACCCCGUGAUGGGAAAGAAACUACAUGUCUUGAGUACAGGAGAGGAAAGCGGAAUUCCCAGUGUAGCGGUGAAAUGCGUAGAUAUUGGGAGGAACACCAGUGGCGAAGGCGGCUUUCUGGACUGCAACUGACGCUGAGGCUCGAAAGCCAGGGGAGCGAACGGGAUUAGAUACCCCAGUAGUC